CACAGUCCCACACCACCAUGCCCAGAGACUCCCAGCUUUGGUGUCCUUAAGAAAGGGACUUACUGACUUCAUGCAUCUUUCAAGCAAAGAUUAACAACAAUGAUAAUAGAGUAAUAAGUUGGCCUGGAAUCUUGGCAAAACUGAAAACCACAUGUUCUGAGAGUCUCUUCCUGCGCUGGUAAUUAAGUUUCUUCCCCCUACAAAAUGAGACUCUUUUGGACCAACAGGCGUUAGGCAUGUGGACAUCUUGAUGGGAUCCCAUCUUCUCUUUUGAGGAUCAAAUCCUGGCCAACUUUGUUUGAUGUUCAGAGCCCUGUAUGGGAGUCAAAGCCUGCUAAUAAAGCAGUCGUGCCUGUUUGGAGUCAUUCUACAGCUCAGGACUUCAUCCCAGGAGGGAGGUGUAGUGGGUGACUCACUAACUGUAAUAUAAACAACGACAACAAAAGGGUCUCUGAGUCACACUGACAUUGUGGAAUCAAACAUAUAUCUCUGUGCCCUGACCCCCACCAAGGAUGCAGUCACACGGAUGUCCAGUUAUCUUCUAAUCAAUGCCCAGUCCAGAUGGUCACCACCCACCUCUGCAGCAAAAGUCACUGCGCAUUUGGAUAUCUACACAGCUUGUUUGUAACUGAGUUAGUGCAGCCUAGUAAGGUACAGAUGUUUUCCUUUUAAUCCUGUUUGUACUUUGAAAUGGUCACACUCGAUGUCAUUUGGCUGCAGGAAGCUCCUCCAGGAAUGAUCCCGCAAGAGAAAUGGGAUGUGCGUGGCACCAUCUGAUUCGGGGCAGCUCUGUCACUCCCUGCAGAACUGAGCACACUGAAUUUAUUUGAAUAGAACAGGUUAUGAGGGUGAGGAUAAACAUAUCAAUACCUCAUUUUUUUUUUGAACGCCGACUCUAUGAUCGGAUUACCUGGCCCUUCAAGAGAUGGAGUUCUGCUCGUCGCCCAGGCUGGAGUGCAGGGGCGCAGUCUUGGCUCACCACAACCUCUGCCUCCUGGUUCAAGCAAUUCUCCCGCCUCAGCCUCCCGAGUAGCUGGGAUUACAGCCACCCAAGACAUGCCUGCUUCCCGUUCACCUUCCACUGUGAUUGUGAGUUUCCUGAGGCCUCCCCAGCCGUACUUCCUGGACAGCCUGCAGAACCACAACAAACCAAACAAUAGGGCAAGCUCUGGUUUGUAGUGUCUGCUGAUUCCUGUGGUGUGAAUACUCCCACCAUGGCCAAUAUCAAGCUGCCAACAUGGUGUCACUAUAUGCAGACUUGGGAAGAGAUGCCUGCUAGCACAUCAUGGUACAGAAUCUCCACUCUGCGGAUAUAAUAGGUGCAAACCCCAAGAGCAGAGCAGAGCAAACAGCAAAAUAAUUAAGGAGUGAUAUGUUUUGAAUAUUCAUUAUCUUUGUUUUCAAUAAAAUUUAUUUAAUUGUAGGCUUUUACAGUCUAAUUUGUAUUUUCAUUUAUUUAUGUGUAUUUAUUUAUUUUUAUUUUAAAAAGUAAAGAUGAGGUCGCCCUAUGUUGCCCAGGCUGGUUUUGAACUCCUGGACUCAGGCAACCCUCCUGCUUUGGCCUCCCAAAGUGCCGGGAUUACAAUCAUGAGCCACUGCACCCAGCCAGUCUAAUUUCUAAUAAUGGCUAUGUUUAACAAGCAAUUUGCAAAAUUCCUGAAAAUGUAAGAAUUGACUCUUCUGAGCUGGCAGGAGCUGACUCCAGC
rnacentral:lncRNA from 1 species